rnacentral:tRNA from 1 species
UCGGGGGUCGUCUAACGGUAGGACUGCAGACUCUGGAUCUGCCUGUCGGGGUUCGAAUCCCUGCCCCCGAGCCA